rnacentral:RNase_P_RNA from 1 species
GGCAUGGCGAGCGAGUCUCUUCGCGAGCCUCGCAAGUCACUGCUUCGCGAAAGUCCCCCUUGUAGCCACUCAUGAAAAUGAGUUCCAGUAAUGGAAGGCAACCACUCAGAAACGAGACCGCUGUAAUUAAGGAUGAAAUUUGUGAAGAUUCCUGCGAGGGAAUCAAGCUAACCAAUCGACGUUUUUGCAGCAUGGAUGAAACGGUGAGCCCUGGCUGGUGCAAGUCUUUAACGACGCUUAGUUUAAUGCUAAGGCAGGCUAUCGUGAUUGAUAAUAAUCACAUUCAGGGCCUGACAAAAGGUGGCUUAUUCUGGCCCUGCC